CCCAACCUAUUUUCAGUUCGUCAUGAUCCAAGAUGAAUUACUUUGGAUGGCUCCAAAGUUACAUUACUUUGAUUUACUCCAAGAUCAGACAGGAUAUCACAAACAAGUAUUUAAGAAAGCUUUCUAAAUUAUAAAAUGCAAAUACCAUAUGAUUUGAAGGUAUCUCAAACAAGUAAAAACCUUGACAUGUGUGAUAAUUAUCUGAAAAG
rnacentral:lncRNA from 1 species